rnacentral:tRNA from 1 species
GGGCCAGUAGCUCAUCUGGCAGAGCGCCACAUUUGCAAUGUGGAGGUACGGGGUUCGAAUCCCCGCUGGUCCACCA